rnacentral:lncRNA from 1 species
GCAGUGGCGGCGGUAGCUGUAGGGAGUCGAAGAGGACGAGAAAGGGGGAGAAGAAGGCGGUGGUAACUAACGAGAAGGGGGGCAGCCUUUUCGGAUCAGGAGAGCGAGCUUGGUGUCACUGUUGGGUAUUUGUGGCACCACGCAGCAGCGGAGGCUUCUCAGGAGUCAGAGGUAUGCAAUUUUUUUAUUUUUUAGUUUCCUG